rnacentral:rRNA from 1 species
UACAGAGGUCUCAAGCGUUGUUCGGAUUCAUUGGGCGUAAAGGGUGCGUAGGCGGGCGCGGUAAGUCGGAUGUGAAAUCUCGGAGCUUAACUCCGAAACUGCAUUCGAUACUGCCGUGCUUGAGGACUGGAGAGGAGACUGGAAUUUACGGUGUAGCGGUGAAAUGCGUAGAUAAUCGUAAGGAAGACCAGUGGCGAAGGCGGGUCUCUGGACAGUUCCUGACGCUGAGGCACGAAGGCCAGGGGAGCAAACGGG